rnacentral:rRNA from 1 species
UGAGAAACCUGUCCCGGUCUCUGGAAUAACAGUCGGAAACGACGUCUAAUGCCGAAUACGACCUCCUUUCACAUGAUCGGAGGUGGAAAGCUCCGGCGGAGAAGGAUGAGCUCGCGGCCUAUCAGCUAGUUGGUGUGGGUAACGGCCCACCAAGGCGACGACGGGUAGCCGGCCUGAGAGGGUGACCGGCCACACUGGGACUGAGACACGGCCCAGACCUCCGUACGGGAGGCAGCAGUGGGGUAA